GAGGGUAUAGCUCAGUGGUAGAGCAUUCAAUUGCAGAUCGAAAGGUCCUCGCGCGGUUUAAACACGGCUGUCCUCU